rnacentral:rRNA from 1 species
GACGAACGCUGGCGGCGUGCCUAAUACAUGCAAGUCGAGCGGAACUGGGGGAGCUUGCCCCUUCCAGUUUAGCGGCGGACGGGUGAGUAACACGUGGGCAACCUGCCCUGCAGAUCGGGAUAACUCCGGGAAACCGGUGCUAAUACCGAAUAGUUUGGCGCCUCUCCUGAGGCGCUACGGAAAGACGGUUUCGGCUGUCACUGCAGGAUGGGACCGCGGCGCAUUAGCUAGUUGGUGGGGUAACGGCCCACCAAGGCGACGAUGCGUAGCCGACCUGAGAGGGGAACCGGCCACACUGGGACUGAGACACGGCCCAGACUCCUACGGGAGGCAGCAGUAGGGAAUCUUCCGCAAUGGACGCAAGUCUGACGGAGCAACGCCGCGUGAGUGACGAAGGUUUUCGGAUCGUAAAACUCUGUUGUGAGGGAAGAACACGUACCAACUAACUACUGGUACCUUGACGGUACCUCACCAGAAAGCCACGGCUAACUACGUGCCAGCCGCCGCAGUAA